CCAUAGAAACAGAAUACUACUCAUUCUUCGAAGAACUUCACUGACACUAUAUUUAUGUAUACAAUGUCUUGAUCCAUGGAUAUCUGCCAAAUUCAUUAACAGAAACAAGAACUUGAAAGCCGUAAACAUCGAGAGGCUUUUUGAAGGAUGACUGAAUUUGUUAAUCUACUAGAACUGUCAGAAAAACUACCUCAAUUAACAGCAAACUUCAAGAAACUGAAUGACAGAUUCAUGGCUUUCCUGAACAUUGAAACAAAAAUGCAAAAAACAAAAACAGAAACUACAAAAUUAAUCAAUACUUGCAGUUACAGAAAUUUAAAAUCAUUAUUUAGAAGUAAAAAACAGCAUGGGAAAUACAAGACUGUGAAAAAUAAACCUUGCAAUAAAGCUAAGAAAGAGAGAAACAAAGGUAAAAUUGCAUAUUUCUUAGAACUGUUUAGGAAACUGAGCUCCUGGAGUAUCAGACAUAAACAAACAAUUGAUGAAGAUCAGGAACUGAUUCCACUAGAUUUAUUUGAUAUUUCUCACGAGAUAAUUCAAGUUACCUGAUAUUCUGUUUUCCUUUCUAAUUUAAUGUUAUAAACAUUAUGAUUUUUUUAAAAAAAAUAAAAUAACACAUUAAUUUGAA